rnacentral:lncRNA from 1 species
AAAGAGAGCCUCUGAAAUGGCUGCACCCGAUAUCUCAGCAGGUUACCCCAUAGAGUGUUGAGUGGGCAACUCAAUUAUUCCCUCACCUGAAGAAGUCUGAAAGCAAGACGAAGAGAGUCCUUUUGCAAGAGUGAUGUACAAAGCCCUACGGACAUACAGACUUUGUGUGCAAGUCCUAUGGAGGAGAGGAGAUGAGAGAGCAAUCGGUUGGUGGCAUCUGGGGACAUUAAACAGUGACGUGGACACAGUGAUGGUCUGCAGUGGUGAACCAGUGAGGGAACAAGUCCUAUGGUUGGGGAGCUACCUGAGGCUGGAGAGCAGAGUACAGCCAGGCCCACAGUGGUGCAGCAUACCAGAGUCAAGGUCUCACUAGGAUGUCCAGGCUGGCCUCCAACUCCCGGGCUCAAGCAAUCCACCUGCCUUGGCCUCUGAAAUUGCAGGAAUUACAGCCUUAUCCAAAAGCUCUGGAGGUAACACCAGUGGAAGCAACCUUAGAAGAGGAAUGAGUUGGCAAGAGGCAAGAGGCAGGAAAGCACUGAGAAUGUUUCAUCAUGAGAUGUAAGCAUCAUGUUCAAGACCCUGAGUGCUUCAUAAAAAAAAAAGUUCCUUUUCCACCAAAACAAUGCCCUGAUUUGAGUGCUUCAUCAAAAGAGAAAGAUUUCUCAUGAUAAACCAUAUUCUAAGCACUUA